rnacentral:rRNA from 1 species
GUCUUAGUCUGGGCCGGCUGCGGGGGGAAGAGGGAGAGGGCUAGCGGUGUUGGGAAUAACGGUGCGGGAAGGGUGCGUAGGCGGGUCUGUAAGUCAGGGGUGAAAUCCUGUAGCUCAACGCCAGAACGGCCUUUGAUACUGAGGAUCUUGAGUUCGGGAGAGGUGAGGGGAACUGCGAGUGUAGAGGUGAAAUUCGUAGAUAUUCGCAAGAACACCAGUGGCGAAGGCGGCUCACUGGCCCGAUACUGACGCUGAGGCACGAAAGCGUGGGGAGCAAACAGGAUUAGAUACCCGGGUGUC